UCGAAGGAGAUUUCGUAGAGUUACUUAAAUGAUGGGAAUUUAAACCUCUUCCAGAGUAUCAAUUGGAGGGCAAGUCUGGUGCCAGCAGCCGCGGUAAUUCCAGCUCCAAUAGCGUAUAUUAAAAUUGUUGCCGCGAAAAAGCUCGUAGUU
rnacentral:rRNA from 1 species